rnacentral:rRNA from 1 species
AUGAACGCUGGCUACAGGCUUAACACAUGCAACUCGAGGGGAAACGACGGGGAAGCUUGCUUCCCCGGGCGUCGACCGGCGCACGGGUGAGUAACGCGUAUCCAACCUGCCUCUGACUGAGGGAUAACCCGUCGAAAGUCGGCCUAAUACCUCAUGGCAUCGUCUGCGGGCAUCCAACGACGAUUAAAGAUUUCAUCGGUCAGGGAUGGGGAUGCGUCUGAUUAGCUUGUUGGCGGGGUAACGGCCCACCAAGGCUACGAUCAGUAGGGGUUCUGAGAGGAAGGUCCCCCACAUUGGAACUGAGACACGGUCCAAACUCCUACGGGAGGCAGCAGUGAGGAAUAUUGGUCAAUGGGCGGGAGCCUGAACCAGCCAAGUAGCGUGCAGGAUGACGGCCCUAUGGGUUGUAAACUGCUUUUAUGCGGGGAUAAAGUGAGGGACGUGUCCUUCAUUGCAGGUACCGCAUGAAUAAGGACCGGCUAAUUCCGUG